rnacentral:rRNA from 1 species
AUCAAUAAGCGGAGGAAAAGAAACCAACAGGGAUUGCCCUAGUAACGGCGAGUGAAGCGGCAACAGCUCAAAUUUGAAAUCUGGCCCUCGGGUCCGAGUUGUAAUUUGUAGAGGAUGCUUUUGGUGAGGUACCUUCCGAGUUCCCUGGAACGGGACGCCAUAGAGGGUGAGAGCCCCGUCUGGUUGGAUACCAAACCUCUGUAAAGCUCCUUCGACGAGUCGAGUAGUUUGGGAAUGCUGCUCUAAAUGGGAGGUAUAUGUCUUCUAAAGCUAAAUACCGGCCAGAGACCGAUAGCGCACAAGUAGAGUGAUCGAAAGAUGAAAAGCACUUUGAAAAGAGAGUUAAAAAGUACGUGAAAUUGUUGAAAGGGAAGCGCUUAUGACCAGACUUGGACUUGGUUGAUCAUCCUGGGUUCUCCCUGGUGCACUCUUCCAGUUCAGGCCAGCAUCAGUUCGCUGCGGGGGAUAAAAGUUUUGGGAAUGUGGCUCCCUCGGGAGUGUUAUAGCCCAUUUCAUAAUACCCUGCUCCGGACUGAGGUUCGCGCAUCUGCAAGGAUGCUGGCGUAAUGGUCAUCAGCGACCCGUCUUGAAACACGGACCAAGGAGUCGUCUUCGUAUGCGAGUGUUCGGGUGUUAAACCCCUACGCGUAAUGAAAGUGAACGCAGGUGAGAGCUUCGGCGCAUCAUCGACCGAUCCUGAUGUUCUCGGAUGGAUUUGAGUAAGAGCAUACGGGGCCGGACCCGAAAGAAGGUGAACUAUGCCUGUAUAGGGUGAAGCCAGAGGAAACUCUGGUGGAGGCUCGCAGCGGUUCUGACGUGCAAAUCGAUCGUCAAAUAUGGGCAUGGGGGCGAAAGACUAAUCGAACCUUCUAGUAGCUGGGUUUCCG